GACGAACGCUGGCGGCGUGCUUAACACAUGCAAGUCGAACGGAAAGGCCCUGCUUGCAGGGUGCUCGAGUGGCGAACGGGUGAGUAACACGUGGGUGAUCUGCCCCUUACUUUGGGAUAAGCCUGGGAAACUGGGUCUAAUACUGGAUAGGACCAUGCUGUAGGUGGUGUGGUGGAAAGAUUAGUUUCGGUAAGGGAUGAGCUCGCGGCCUAUCAGCUUGUUGGUGGGGUAAUGGCCUACCAAGGCGUCGACGGGUAGCCGGCCGGAGAGGGUGGACGGCCACAUUGGGACUGAGAUACGGCCCAGACUCCUACGGGGGGCAGCAGUGGGGAAGAUUGCACAAUGGGCGCAAGCCUGAUGCAGCGACGCCGCGUGGGGGAUGACGGCCUUCGGGUUGUAAACUCCUUUCAGCCAUGACGAAGCCCUUGUGGUGACGGUAGUGGUAGAAGAAGCACCGGCUAACUACGUG
rnacentral:rRNA from 1 species